rfam:Strongyloides ratti strain ED321 Heterogonic genome assembly, chromosome: 1
CCAAAGGCCCUCUUUAGGGCCACCAAUUAAUACUUUUUUAUUUUA